ACGCAUCAGACAAACUCUACCUUCGCGGGCAUUUUGAUCCACCUCAUCUCGGACUGCUGUUAUUCAGAUAAAAAAGGAUGCAGAAUAACAGCUGAUAAUAAUAAUAAUGGAUCAUUAUAUUCAGGAGAAAGAAGACUGGAACUUGGAUGUCCUGAUACCAAGCUUAAAGAUGAACAAAUGGAUAAAGAAGCCCUCCUGCUGAACAUCCACUUCCAAAAGUGCACACCACUAUUGUCUACAAACUCCAAGGAAAAUAAUCCUCUUCAGUAAGACUGCUCCGUGGAUAUGCCAGGUUAAGCAGUACUGGCAUUGAAAAAUUUAAACUUUAUAAAAAAACUUUUUUGAGUUUAUAUGAACAGGGAAGUUCUCGGACUAAUACAUUCCUUGGAAAUGUCAACCAAUACCAUGAAAAAGUUUUUACCCAAGGUUUUACUAUACUAACUGCACCGUAUCAACAUUUGGUUGUUCAAAUACUGUGUGAGGUCUCUCUUCAAGUUAAGGUAUUAUAUUGCUUCAGGUUUGUACAUUUUAGUUCACAGAAAUCUUACAAAGUUUGUUGCCUCCCGAAUACGGUGUCCCUUUUUCACAUCCAUAACGCUUGUUUAUUUCUUUAAGAUAGAAAUCUUGUAUAUAGAUAUGAUAUUUUAUCGUAUUAGUGCAGUUCUAUCAACAACGGUUUAGUAAAAUAAAAACAAAUGGUUCAGUAUAUUGGUAACAAAUUUGUCACAUCCAUAAUGCUGGAAUUGCCCUAAAGCAUUUUACUUGUGCCACUUUGUUAACUGUAUUUUGUAAAAAGUUAUGAUUUUUUUAAGUGGAAAGUUGUCGAACUAUUUCU